CGUAACAAGGUUUCCGUAGGUGAACCUGCGGAAGGAUCAUUAACCUUUCAAAUCAGGGUGCGGCGCGGCCGCCGAGGAGCGGAAACAAUCCUUGGGAGGUAUGCGGGGGCUUCGAGCCCCCCAUUUACGCACGCACGACUGCCAUCCUUACUUUACGAGCACCUUCUGUUCUCCCUCGGCGGGGCAACCUGCCGUUGGAACCGAAUAAACUCUUUUUGCAUCUAGCAUUACCUGUUCCGAAACAAACAAUCGUUACAACUUUCAACAAUGGAUCUCUUGGCUCUGGCAUCGAUGAAGAACGCAGCGAAAUGCGAUAAGUAGUGUGAAUUGCAGAAUUCAGUGAAUCAUCGAAUCUUUGAACGCACAUUGCGCCCCUCGGUAUUCCGUGGGGCAUGCCUGUUCGAGCGUCAUCUACACCCUCAAGCUCUGCUUGGUGUUGGGCGUCUGUCCCGCCUCCGCGCGUGGACUCGCCCCAAAUUCAUUGGCAGCGGUCCUUGCCUCCUCUCGCGCAGCGCAUUGCGCUUCUCGAGGGGCUACGGCUCGCGUCCAACAAGCACAUUUACCGUCUUUGACCUCGGAUCAGGUAGGGAUACCCGCUGAACUUAAGCAUAUCA
rnacentral:rRNA from 1 species